rnacentral:rRNA from 1 species
GAUGAACGCUAGCGGUGUGCCUAAUGCAUGCAAGUCGAACGGGACCCUUUGGAUUCGUCUGAAGGUGAGAGUGGCGAACGGGUGAGUAUCGCGUUGGUGACCUGCCCCAGAGAGAGGGACAACCAGUGGAAACGCUGGCUAAUACCUCGGAUGUCUUUGUCUUUAGAAAGCAAUGACUAAAGCUCCGGCGCUCUGGGAGGGGCCUGCGUCCCAUCAGCUUGUUGGUAAGGUAAUGGCUUACCAAGGCUAAGACGGGUAGGGGGCGUGAGAGCGUGGCCCCCCACACUGGUACUGAAACACGGACCAGAUACCUACGGGUAGCAGCAGCAAGGAAUAUUGCCCAAUGGACGAAAGUCUGAGGCAGCAACACCGCGUGGAGGAUGAAGGCUUUCGGGUUGUAAACUCCUUUUCUGGGGGAAGAAUAAAAUGACGGUACCCCAGGAAUAAGGCCCGGCUAACUACG